UGCAAGAAAUGAGGUUGGUAAGGGGGAUUGUCAUACAUGAUUUGCUAAGUUGUUGACUAUGUGAAUUUGGUUGCUGGACUAGGAUAUGAUAUAAUGUUCUUUUGAGAUUAGGAUUUCCUAAGGUGAUGAUUCUGAGUUUUAAAUUUGUGAGUCCCUGCUGUUUUCAAACCUCUUUCAGAGAGACUGCAUGUAUGUUUUGCUUGAGCACAAG
rnacentral:lncRNA from 1 species